GAUGAACGCUGGCGGCGUGCCUAAUACAUGCCAGUCGAGCGAACGGACGAGAAGCUUGCUUCUCUGAUGUUAGCGGCGGACGGGUGAGUAACACGUGGAUAACCUACCUAUAAGACUGGGAUAACUUCGGGAAACCGGAGCUAAUACCGGAUAAUCUUUUGAACCGCAUGGUUCAAAAGUGAAAGACGGUCUUGCUGUCACUUAUAGAUGGAUCCGCGCUGCAUUAGCUAGUUGGUAAGGUAACGGCUUACCAAGGCAACGAUGCAUAGCCGAGCUGAGAGGGUGAUCGGCCACACUGGAACUGAGACACGGUCCAGACUCCUACGGGAGGCAGCAGUAGGGAAUCGUCCGCAAUGGGCGAAAGCCUGACGGAGCAACGCCGCGUGAGUGAUGAAGGUCUUCGGAUCGUAAAACUCUGUUAUUAGGGAAGAACAUAUGUGUAAGUAACUGUGCACAUCUUGACGGUACCUAAUCAGAAAGCCACGGCUAACUACGUG
rnacentral:rRNA from 1 species